UACGGAGGGGACUAGCGUUGUUCGGAAUUACUGGGCGUAAAGCGCACGUAGGCGGAUUUGUAAGUCAGGGGUGAAAUCCCGGGGCUCAACCUCGGAACUGCCUUUGAUACUGCAAAUCUCGAGUCCGGAAGAGGUGAGUGGAAUUCCUGGUGUAGCGGUGAAAUGCGCAGAUAUCAGGAGGAACACCAAUUGCGAAGGCAGCUCGCUGGGACGUUACUGACGCUGAGGCGCGACAGCGUGGGGAGCAAACAGG
rnacentral:rRNA from 1 species